AGUAGCUGGGAUUACAGGCACCUGCCACCACGCCCAGCCGUGAGCCACUGCUCCCAGCCAGGAUCCAGUUUCUUGACUUAAUCAUUUACACUGUUUUUUCCAUUUCAAACUCUGUUUUCUUCACUCAUUCCAUUGGCAUGUUUCAGCGUUGAGAGCUGUGCCCUGUAGUGGACAAAGCAUAGAAUACUGGAGGCAUAGGGUAAUGAAAGGAGAGGAGGGGAUUACAGGGAUCAGCCUCACUUCAGGAUAAUAGAAUUGAAGAGAUUUGGAAGGCUGAGUGGAUGAAGUGUGUGAAGGAGAGGCCCCAAUCAAAUGAGAGUCUCAGGAUGCUGUUAGAGACAAGCGGGUGGACUGCAGUGUAGGGAAUUUUGCGGGAUGCAACUUUUGGACUUUGGGAGGAUUCUGCUCCUGCAAAUUGUCAGCUGACUGUCUUUCUGCCACUUCUCGGGAAUUUCUCCUAACGUAUUUUGACAAGAGUACUUUUCCUAGUCUGGCUUUGCCUUGGGUAUUUUUAGGCAGUGACUCAGCAGGGAAGGAUUUUCCAGAAUCCUCAUGUUAAAUAAAUGGUUCUCAUCUCAGAUUUCCUGAGGGCAACCACAGAGCAUAGAGUGAGCUCUGUGCCAGCCUGUGUUUUCCUAUUCAGGUAAAGUUCACAGGCUGCAAAGGAGGAGCCUUUUCAGAAGACAGCUCCAACAACUGGCUGUCAAAACCAAAGCCAAAUGCACACAAAGCGCCAAGACAGAGCUUUACAAUCUAGGCCCAGUGUUCUUGUUUCUGCUGCCUCAGAUGCUUCCCUUCUCCUCCUCUUGUCCAGAUCCACCCCUCCCUUCCCUCCUAGGACCAAGAGGCAUGUCCUCCGCCC